rnacentral:rRNA from 1 species
UACGAAGGGGGCUAGCGUUGCUCGGAAUCACUGGGCGUAAAGCGCACGUAGGCGGCUUUCUAAGUCAGGGGUGAAAUCCCGGAGCUCAACUCCGGAACUGCCUUUGAUACUGGAAAGCUUGAGUCCGGGAGAGGUGAGUGGAACUGCGAGUGUAGAGGUGAAAUUCGUAGAUAUUCGGAAGAACACCAGUGGCGAAGGCGGCCCGCUGGACAUGUAUUGACGCUGAGGUGCGAAAGCGUGGGGAGCAAACAGG